rnacentral:rRNA from 1 species
GACGAACGCUGGCGGCGUGCUUAACACAUGCAAGUCGAGCGAUGAAACUUCUUCGGAAGUGGAUUAGCGGCGGACGGGUGAGUAACACGUGGGCAACCUGCCUCAUAGUGGGGAAUAGCCUCUCGAAAGGGAGAUUAAUACCGCAUAAGAUUGUAGUUCCGCAUGGAACAGCAAUUAAAGGAUUUAUUCGCUAUGAGAUGGGCCCGCGGCGCAUUAGCUAGUUGGUGAGGUAACGGCUCACCAAGGCGACGAUGCGUAGCCGACCUGAGAGGGUGAUCGGCCACAUUGGGACUGAGGCACGGCCCAGACUCCUACGGGAGGCAGCAGUGGGGAAUAUUGCACAAUGGGGGAAACCCUGAUGCAGCAACGCCGCGUGAGUGAUGACGGUCUUCGGAUUGUAAAGCUCUGUCUUUAGGGACGAUAAUGACGGUACCUAAGGAGGAAGCCACGGCUAACUACGUGCCAGCCGCCGCCGUAA